rnacentral:lncRNA from 1 species
AGCUCUCCAUCACCUACCAAGAAACAUUGUUCAAGGUGUAAGAGAAACCGAAUCGAAGAUCAGGUAGCUUCUGCUGGCCUUGUUUGAUAUUCUAGUUGGCUUGUCUCUGUAACAAUGUCUUGGAGAUGCUGUUACCUUUCUUCUACAAUGUGGCCUGAACCUAUAGGUUGAGCUGAAUUAUCCUCUAUUUCAUGAAAAAUCAAUGAAAUUGGCCGGCUUUCUGAUCUUUCUCUGUUAUCAGUCUGGCCUUUUCUAAUUUUUCUCACCAUGAGACCGAUAUCCCACCUACUUUUACCAUUUGAGACACAUCUAUGGAGCAGAGUCAAAUGUGAACUCAAAAAUCCUGAAAAAGAUCUUGAUUCUUUUUUCAGUACUCUUGCCAAGAGACUGAGGGAGAAUCUGAUGCAAUCUCUCCAUGCAUAUCCCUGCCAAUGCAAGUCCUUGACAGGCUGAUCGCUUUAAACCAUGCCACUUGUAGUUUAUGCUGUUCUUCCCUCAUCCAAAUGGAUUUUAGGAAACCAUUGCUCUAUUGUUUGAACUUUACGAAUUAUUUUGUGAAAACCUUGCUGCCUCCUCUACAGGCCCUCGCAGAGUACCACCGGGCAAGCCAUAGGCGUAAAGGAAGAACCCAUUGCCACAACCUUCAAGUGAAAGAAACUUCUUGUGCUAGCUUGUUUUUUUUAAGACACAAGAUUCUACGAGGUGUACGGUAACAGUUGCGUUUCAAGUGAAAAAAAAUUUCUAUGCUAGCUUUUUUUUUUUUUA